ACAUUCAGGCGGCGACCAAUCCCUGGCCGCCCUGGUGUGCGCCCUGCACCGUGGGCCUUUUCCCAGCUGGCCGGUGGGGGAGCAGCCACUGUGGGUCUCUGAGCCUUGGUGGGACGGUCAAGGUUGGACCUGUGAUGGAGACCAGCGUGCGGCCGUGUCGUGAGGGAAGGAGGAACACAGGCUGAGACAGAGGGACCUCUUUACUGUCCCCUCGGCCAAGCCAUGGAACACAACCCUCUCCCCCCAGCCCCCAGCGGCCACCUGGAGACCACCCCGGGCUGGAGCCCAGCACAACCACCAUCAAGUCUCAACCGUCCAGCUUGGGACAGCCUAUUCCCUGCCCACCUGGCUUCCCAGAAGACGGGGAGCCGAGCCUGGCCCCUCCCGGAGGCUCCCUGGUCCAGGGGUGCCCCUCUGUGCAGACGAGCUCCCGCUGGACGAGUGAGCGGCUGCCUGGCCGGCCCGCAGCCGGACUGGCCUUUGGGGUGCCCUCUGGGCCAGCCCCACAGAGAGGGGCGACGGGGCUGUUACCCCCUGGACGGGAGGAUGAAGCCCGAGAGGGGCCGUGGCCCAGCGAGCUGGGUCCACCCUGGACGGACGGACGGACGGGGCUAGGACCUCCUCACGCCCAGUGCCAGAUGCCACCAGUCAACCGGUGGUCCUGGGGAUGAAAGGAGAUGAGCGACCCGCCCUGGGCUUCUAGAAGGAUCCUCCAUUUCUCUUCUGAGGCCGGGGCGGCGGACGGUGCCGACGCAGCCCCUUGCUAAGGAAUUCACCUGGUACUUUCACAAAGAAAGCCCUGGAGCCUCCGGGGAAGAGAGGGCCAUCUGAUUGCGGAAAAGUACAGGAAAGCAGAAAAACGUCAUAAAAGUGGAGAAACCCUGCAGCCCCCGGGCCAUUGUCUGCACAGGCGCUCCCGCUGGGCCCCGCGGCGGCCGCCAUUCAUUCCUGUGCGCUGUGUAAACACCAGGCUUCGCGGGCAGGUCAACGCUCUGUUUGUUGUGUGGGCCAUUGAGGCCCUCGCUGCAGCUCGGACUCGGGGCCAAAGAGAUGUUUAUCAGGUUGUCAGAGGAGGGAAAAAUGUGGGUCUCCCACCCGGUGGGACCGGCUUUUCU